rnacentral:rRNA from 2 species
UGGGGAAUCUUGCGCAAUGGGCGAAAGCCUGACGCAGCGACGCCGCGUGGGGGAUGAAGCUUUUCGGAGUGUAAACCCCUUUCGACUGGGAAGAAUGCCCGCAAGGGAGCGACGGUACCAGUAGAAGAAGCCCCGGCUAACUACGUGCCAGCAGCCGCGGUAAGACGUAGGGGGCCAGCGUUGUUCGGAAUUACUGGGUGUAAAGGGUUCGUAGGCGGUGCGGCAAGUUGGGAGUGAAAUCUCUGGGCUUAACCCAGAGGCUGCUUCCAAAACUGCUGUGCUUGAGUGUGAGAGAGGCUCGUGGAAUUGCAGGUGUAGCGGUGAAAUGCGUAGAUAUCUGCAGGAACACCCGUGGCGAAAGCGGCGAGCUGGAUCACAACUGACGCUGAGGAACGAAAGCUAGGGGAGCAAACAGG